AACGAACGCUGGCGGCAUGCCUAACACAUGCCAGUCGAACGAGACCUUCGGGUCUAGUGGCGCACGGGUGCGUAACGCGUGGGAACCUGCCCUUAGGUUCGGAAUAACUCCCCGAAAGGGGUGCUAAUACCGGAUAACGUCUUCGGACCAAAGAUUUAUCGCCUUUGGAUGGGCCCGCGUUGGAUUAGCUAGUUGGUAGGGUAAAAGCCUACCAAGGCGACGAUCCAUAGCUGGUCUGAGAGGAUGAUCAGCCACACUGGGGCUGAGACACGGCCCAGACUCCUACGGGAGGCAGCAGUGGGGAAUAUUGGACAAUGGGCGAAAGCCUGAUCCAGCAAUGCCGCGUGAGUGAUGAAGGCCUUAGGGUUGUAAAGCUCUUUUACCCGGGAUGAUAAUGACAGUACCGGGAGAAUAAGCUCCGGCUAACUCCGUG
rnacentral:rRNA from 1 species